UCUGGUGCUGAUGCGCUUGGGGGAAACACCCGUUCCCAUCCCGAACACGAUGGUUAAGACUCAAGCGGCCGAUGGUACUAUGCUGGUGACGGCAUGGGAGAGCAGGUGAGUGCCAGAU
rnacentral:rRNA from 2 species